GUGCCAGCCGCCGCGGUAAUACCGGCAGCUCGAGUGAUGGCCGAUUUUAUUGGGCCUAAAGCGUCCGUAGCCGGCCGAGCAAGUCCGUCGGGAAAUCCACUCGCCCAACGAGUGGGCGUCCGACGGAAACUGCACAGCUUGGGACCGGAAGGCUCGAAGGGUACGUUCGGGGUAGGAGUGAAAUCCCAUAAUCCCGCACGGACCACCGAUGGCAAAAGCACUUCGAGAAAACGGAUCCGACAGUGAGGGACGAAAGCCAGGGUCUCCAACCGGAUUAGAAACCCUAGUAGUCC
rnacentral:rRNA from 1 species